UAGGGAAUAUUGCAAAUGGGCGCAAGCCUGAUGUAGCAACGCCGCGUGUGCGAUGAAGGUCUUCGGAUUGUAAGGCACUUUUUGGAGGGAUGAGGAAGGACAGUACCUCCAGAAUAAGCCUCGGCUAACUACGUGCCAGCAGCCGCGGUAACACGUAGGAGGCAAGCGUUAUUCGGAUUUACUGGGCGUAAAGCGCGUGCAGGCGGUUUGGAAAGUUGGAUGUGAAAGCUCCUGGCUCAACUGGGAGAGGUCGUUCGAAACUUCCAGACUUGAGAGUGGUAGAGGGAGGUGGAAUUCCGGGUGUAGGGGUGAAAUGCGUAGAUAUCCGGAGGAACACCAGUGGCGAAAGCGG
rnacentral:rRNA from 1 species